UGGCGACCGGCGCACGGGUGAGUAACACGUAUCCAACCUGCCCUUUACUCGGGGAUAGCCUUUCGAAAGAAAGAUUAAUACCCGAUAGCAUAAUGAUUCCGCAUGGUUUCAUUAUUAAAGGAUUCCGGUAAAGGAUGGGGAUGCGUUCCAUUAGGUUGUUGGUGAGGUAACGGCUCACCAAGCCUUCGAUGGAUAGGGGUUCUGAGAGGAAGGUCCCCCACAUUGGAACUGAGACACGGUCCAAACUCCUACGGGAGGCAGCAUG
rnacentral:rRNA from 1 species